rnacentral:rRNA from 1 species
GAAGUGUGGACGCCAGUCUGCAUGGAGCCGACCUUGAAAUACCACCCUUUAAUGUUUGAUGUUCUAACGUUGACCCGUAAUCCGGGUUGCGGACAGUGUCUGGUGGGUAGUUUGACUGGGGCGGUCUCCUCCUAAAGAGUAACGGAGGAGCACGAAGGUUGGCUAAUCCUGGUCGGACAUCAGGAGGUUAGUGCAAUGGCAUAAGCCAGCUUGACUGCGAGCGUGACGGCGCGAGCAGGUGCGAAAGCAGGUCAUAGUGAUCCGGUGGUUCUGAAUGGAAGGGCCAUCGCUCAACGGAUAAAAGGUACUCCGGGGAUAACAGGCUGAUACCGCCCAAGAGUUCAUAUCGACGGCGGUGUUUGGCACCUCGAUGUCGGCUCAUCACAUCCUGGGGCUGAAGUAGGUCCCAAGGGUAUGGCUGUUCGCCAUUUAAAGUGGUACGCGAGCUGGGUUUAGAACGUCGUGAGACAGUUCGGUCCCUAUCUGCCGUGGGCGCUGGAGAACUGAGGGGGGCUGCUCCUAGUACGAGAGGACCGGAGUGGACGCAUCACUGGUGUUCGGGUUGUCAUGCCAAUGGCACUGCCCGGUAGCUAAAUGCGGAAGAGAUAAGUGCUGAAAGCAUCUAAGCACGAAACUUGCCCCGAGAUGAGUUCUCCCUGACUCCUUGAGAGUCCUGAAGGAACGUUGAAGACGACGACGUUGAUAGGCCGGGUGUGUAA